rnacentral:sRNA from 1 species
GCCAGGCAUGGUGAUGCACGCCUGUAAUCCCAGUGGCUUGGGAGGCACUGAGGCAGGAGGAUUGUGAGUUCAAAGCUAGCCUCAGCAAUAGUGAGGCACUAAGCAACUCAGUGAGACCCUGUCUCUA